rnacentral:rRNA from 1 species
GUGGGGAAUAUUGCGCAAUGGACGAAAGUCUGACGCAGCGACGCCGCGUGUGGGAUGAAGCCUUUCGGGGUGUAAACCACUGUUGCCCGGGACGAAACUCCUCUUUCGAGAGGAUUGACGGUACCGGGUGAGGAAGCACCGGCUAACUCUGUGCCAGCAGCCGCGGUAAUACAGAGGGUGCGAGCGUUGUCCGGAAUCACUGGGCGUAAAGGGCGCGUAGGUGGCGGGAUAAGCGUGUGGUGAAAGCCCGGGGCUCAACCCCGUGUCUGCCAUGCGGACUGUCCUGCUCGAGCGUAGUAGAGGCAGGUGGAAUUCCGGGUGUAGCGGUGGAAUGCGUAGAGAUCCGGAAGAACACCGGUGGCGAAGGCGGCCUGCUGGGCUACUGCUGACACUGAGGCGCGACAGCGUGGGGAGCAAACAGGAUUAGAUACCCUAGUAGUCC